AAACAAUAACCCUGAUCUAACAUGUCUCAACGACCAAACCCAAACUGCAUACAAACCACUAUAUUCUUUCCUAAAACAACCCUACACCCCACCCCGUAAACCCCCAGAUAGACGAGGAUUUCAGAAUACGAUGUCGAUCUGAAUUCGCACUACUCUGGGUCCCUUGGACAUCAACCCCCCCCUUCCAUAAACUAUCCUGUUAUCCCAUCAACCCCUUUAACCCCCAUCCCUAUCAAUUUAUAGACUCUAUAUUACAACCAACCCAACAUAUCCCCCCAGGUUAAACGAGGAUAACAAAACAAGAUGUCAUUUUGUUAUUGCAAUAACUCUGGAUCCCAUGGACAUCAUACCUAUCCCUUAUUAUCCUACCCAUAACCUUUAAAAAACCCCCCUCUUCCUGCCUAUUUUUUAAAAAAAAGUGGUUUUAAUAAUUAUUGCUGUAUGUGUUACAAUAAUUCGUUACUAUCCUCAAAUUAAAUUUUGAUUUCAAAUAUAUUGCCAAACGGGAAAAAUAAAAUAUCCCCAAACAAAUUGACACAUAACCUCAAACUAACUUUCACAACUCCAUGACGCUUCAAUUAUCUAAAAAAUUUUUUAAUCUUUCAUAAUCACAACUUAAAGGAAUCAUUUACAUGAUCUAACGGUAGGAACAAGUGAGGAAUUGCCAAAUGAAUGAAUCUAAUGUAUAUUUUGUAAGGAAUUGACGAUAACUCCUGAAGAUGCUGUAUAAACACAGUGAAACCGGUUGAGUGAAAAUU